CUAUAGACCUAGAAAAGUGAAAUACACAGCCAAGGUGACAGAAAUAAAGGUUCAUCGGUUGUCCUUCACAUUCACACACUGUUGUCUUUAUACUUAACAGAUCAUAUACUGGACUGGGGGUCAGAUGGCUGAGCGGAUAGGGAGUCGGGCUAUUAAUCAGGUUGUUGGUUCGAUUCCCGGCCAUGCAAAAUGACGUUGUGUCCUUGGGCAAGGCACUUCACCCUACUUGCCUCGGGGAGAAUGUCCCUGUACUUACUGAUGGCAGGCAGGUAGAGGAGCUGUGAUUGCUGCAGGGGCACACCUGUGAUCUGUUCCUUGGUCCUUAAUAAGCUGUGCCCUAACAAGCUGGGUCUCUCCAUUACUAGCAGGAACAUCAUCACUGUUUGCUUUUUAGUUUGUAAUGAUUCUCUUCGCUCUACACUUGCACUGAUCCCACACCCAUUCCCUACAUUACUAAUUUACCAACCGUUUCUUUGUAAGCACUUUUUAUUAAAUAAAUACAUUGUUAUCCUUA